rnacentral:rRNA from 1 species
CCUACGGGUGGCAGCAGUGAGGAAUAUUGGUCAAUGGACGAGAGUCUGAACCAGCCAAGUAGCGUGAAGGAAGAAGGCUUUCGGGUUGUAAACUUCUUUUAAGAGGGAAGAGCAGAAGACGGUACCUCUUGAAUAAGCCACGGCUAACUACGUGCCAGCAGCCGCGGUAAUACGUAGGUGGCAAGCGUUGUCCGGAUUUACUGGGUGUAAAGGGCGUGUAGCCGGGCUGACAAGUCAGAUGUGAAAUCCGGGGGCUCAACCCCCGAACGGCAUUUGAAACUGUUGGUCUUGAGUAUCGGAGAGGCAGGCGGAAUUCCUAGUGUAGCAGUGAAAUGCGUAGAUAUUAGGAGGAACACCAGUGGCGAAGGCGGCCUGCUGGACGACAACUGACGGUGAGGCGCGAAAGCGUGGGGAGCAAACAGGAUUAGAUACCCCAGUAGUC